CUUUGUACACACCGCCCGUCGCUGCCCGGGACUGAGCCGAUUCGAGAAAUCCGGGGAUCGCCGGUCUGAUGCCUUCGGGCGUCUCUCUGGUGAGAACCGGCUUAAUCGCAUCAGUUUGAACCGGGCAAAAGUCGUAACAAGGUUGCUGUAGGUGAACCUGCUGCAGGAUCAUUACUUACAAGUAAACCUAUCCAAUACGAUUCCGUCCUUUGGUGGGCAGUGCCCUCAGGCAUUGGCGAAACCCAUCAAAUGUGACGCGAACGGCUGGGUUGGCGUCUGUGAGUCGUGGAGCAGUUGUAGUCCAUGUCCGUGGCUGCGAUGAUGCGACUCGGUAGGGCUGUCAUCGCCUUUGGCAGCUUAAGACUUGAUGAGCGCAGACCAAGCGCCGCCAGCAACCAUUUUUUUCCAAUAAACUUUUUCAAAUGCCAUGAAAGGCAAACAAGAAUUCUAGCCUUAUCGGUGGAUCACUCGGCUCGUAGGUCGAUGAAGAACGCAGCCAGCUGCGAUAUCUAGUGUGAACUGCAGAACCUUUGAACACUAAACAUUCGAAUGCACAUUGCGCCAUUGGAGUCACUUCCUCUGGCACGCCUGGUUCAGGGUCGUUAACCAAAAACGCAAGACAAAUGCGUACAUGAAUGCGUGAUGAUUAAUAUUUUCAUGCAAUGGAAAUUCAAAGUUUGCUAAUUUUGUACUUGGACAUGAAUUUCGUGAGUAUUUGCCGUGUGGCGAAUGAAAUUCACGUAUGUUCAUUGUGCAGAUUGGCAACUUUUCCAAAUCAUUCGACCUGAACUCAGACGUGAAUACCCGCUGAACUUAAGCAUAUCAGUAAGCGGAGGAAAAGAAACUAACAAGGAUUCCCUUAGUAACGGCGAGUGAAA
rnacentral:rRNA from 1 species